rnacentral:lncRNA from 1 species
GCGCACACUGAGCAAGUGAGUAAGUAAAUUGAGUGUAGCAGAUUGGACAAUGGGAGGGCGCAGCAAGAAGCGUGGUACGGAACUAGGGAGUGCUCCCCGAGAUUGCGCAUAGCUUUACCAGUUGUUCAUGGCGGUUCUGUUUUGUUUCUGGUUUCGGUUUCAGGUGGGGCGAAGGGGCGCGGCCGUGAGGGCGGCGGGGAGAACCCGGCGUCGGGCGGGAACAGCAACAGCGCGCAGCCGAUGGCCAACGUCGAGCCCCUGACGAGGCGGGUGCUGCCGUCGAAUGACAAGACCGCCGAGUCCACGAAGCAGGGCGCGGUCGAGUUGUUUUUCAGCCGCAGGGCGCGCCCUCCUGCGCGGCCGGCGAUGACGGCGGCCGUGUCGCAUGACGCGCCAGUGUUCACCGAAGAGGAGCUGGAGUUCCUCCAGUCGGUUAUUCCUCCGCCGCCGGGCGGAUAUUAGCUGUGCGGCGGGCAAGCUCGUCGGCCACAGUCCCAGGUGCUGCCACCUGCGGGGCAUGGCUAUAAAUGUAGCGUUGUUUUGCCUCAAGAAAAAUCCCGAAGUAUCCAAUAAGGCAAUAAUAUAUUCGGAAAAGAUAACGCCAGAACGUCAGUAUUUUUAAGCUUUUCGUCCGGAACGCCCUAGCAACCGUAGAUGCAACUCAUCAAUCUUGAUGCGUGAGUCCGUGACAGGUCGGCGUUGCAAAUCAUAGGGUCCCGCUGAAAAGACGUGCAUGUCGCUACAGAAGAAAU